rnacentral:rRNA from 1 species
UGCAAGUCGAGCGGAGACAGUGAGUAGCUUGCUAUGAGCUGUUUUAGCGGCGGACGGGUGAGUAACGCGUGAGCAACCUUUCCCAGACAGGGGAAUAACACACCGAAAGGUGUACUAAUACCGCAUAAGACCACGGGAUCACAUGGUUCUGAGGUAAAAGAUUUAUCGGUUUGGGGUGGGCUCGCGUCCGAUUAGGUAGUUGGUGAGGUAACGGCCCACCAAGCCGACGAUCGGUAGCCGACCUGAGAGGGUGAUCGGCCACAUUGGGACUGAGACACGGCCCAAACUCCUACGGGAGGCAGCAGUGGGGAAUAUUGGGCAAUGGGGGAAACCCUGACCCAGCAACGCCGCGUGAAGGAAGAAGGUCUUCGGAUCGUAAACUUCUAUCCUUGGUGAAGAGGAGAAGACGGUAGCCAAGAAGGAAGCCCCGGCUAACUACGUGCCAGCAGCCGCGGUAAUACGUAGGGGGCAAGCGUUGUCCGGAAUGAUUGGGCGUAAAGGGCGUGUAGGCGGCCUGGUAAGUCUGGAGUGAAAGUCCUGUUUUUAAGAUGGGAAUUGCUUUGGAUACUGUUGGGCUAGAGUGCAGGAGAGGUAAGUGGAAUUCCCAGUGUAGCGGUGAAAUGCGUAGAGAUUGGGAGGAACACCAGUGGCGAAGGCGACUUACUGGACUGUAACUGACGCUGAGGCGCGAAAGUGUGGGGAGCAAACAGGAUUAGAUACCCUGGUAGUCCACACUGUAAACGAUGAAUGCUAGGUGUAGGGGGUAUCGACCC